rnacentral:rRNA from 1 species
AUACGGAGGGUCCAAGCGUUAUCCGGAAUCAUUGGGUUUAAAGGGUUCGUAGGCGGGUCAAUAAGUCAGAGGUGAAAUCUUGCAGCUUAACUGUAAAAUUGCCUUUGAUACUGUUGACCUUGAAUUACUGUGAAGUGGUUAGAAUAUGUAGUGUAGCGGUGAAAUGCUUAGAGAUUACAUAGAAUACCGAUUGCGAAGGCAGAUCACUAACAGUAUAUUGACGCUGAUGAACGAAAGCGUGGGUAGCGAACGGGAUUAGAAACCCGAGUAGUCC